CGUGUAGGCGGUUAAGUAAGUCAGUGGUGAAAUCUCUCGGCUCAACCGGGAAACUGCCAUUGAUACUGUUAGUCUUGAGUUCGGUUGAGGUAGGCGGAAUGUGUAAUGUAGCGGUGAAAUGCUUAGAUAUUACACAGAACACCAAUUGCGUAGGCAGCUUACUAGACCGACACUGACGCUGAGGCACGAAAGCGUGGGGAGCGAACAGGAUUAGAUACCCUGGUAGUCC
rnacentral:rRNA from 1 species